GUGGGGAAUCUUGCGCAAUGGGCGAAAGCCUGACGCAGCCAUGCCGCGUGAAUGAUGAAGGUCUUAGGAUUGUAAAAUUCUUUCACCGGGGACGAUAAUGACGGUACCCGGAGAAGAAGCUCCGGCUAACUUCGUGCCAGCAGCCGCGGUAAUACGAAGGGGGCUAGCGUUGCUCGGAAUUACUGGGCGUAAAGGGCGCGUAGGCGGACAGCUUAGUCAGAGGUGAAAGCCCAGGGCUCAACUCUGGAACUGCCCUUGAUACUGGCGAUCUUGAGUGUGAGAGAGGUAUGUGGAACUCCGAGUGUAGAGGUGAAAUUCGUAGAUAUUCGGAAGAACACCAGUGGCGAAGGCGACAUACUGGCUCAUUACUGACGCUGAGGCGCGAAAGCGUGGGGAGCAAACAGGAUUAGAAACCCGUGUAGUCC
rnacentral:rRNA from 1 species